GUCUUCUCCUCCGUCCAGAUCCAGCGGUUCUUCAUCAUUUCCGGCAAUGCUUCGGGAAAAAAAAAAUCUCUUCAUCCCUAUCUCUAUCUUAGGUAAUUUUUCCGCAAUCUGAUAUCUUGGCAAAAAAUUAGGGGUAUUCAGAGAAGAUUUGGUCUGUAAUUUUAUAAACAUUUCAGCAACGCCGUAGGAUGAAAAUCCGAUGUAACAAGAAUAUAUUCACAAGGAAUGGAAGAAGAACAUCUAGCGGUAAUAAUCUCGAUUAAUUUUUUUCGAUUUGAACCAUAACAAUUUCAAUUUAAGCGGAAUGAAAUCGAAAGAAAAUCCUUUUGGGAGGAAUUAUUCCUGCUUGGUGUUUUGGAAUAACUAUAAGUUCAACCCUAAAAUCAAUCCAGAGAUGUAUCUUUUUGGGGCGAUUAUAUGGUCAGAGAUCAAAAACAUCCAAGGACUGUUUGCAUAUUCAUUAGGUCUAUUGACUGGAGGAAGUACGACCACUCUUUGCUCGACGGAAAGCAGCCCCACAUCAAACUGGUCUCCUUAUUCUCCUAGAUAUAGCCCCAUGUUGUCUGAAUCAAGUCAUGAUUGGAGAGAUUACAAGGUCACAAAUUGGAUUGGGAUAUAAGAAUUAGAAAGAGAGUACCUACCAGGUAACUCAUAUCCAUACAAAAUAUGUUUUGACAAAAGCAAACAGUGCAUAGAGAACAGAAAAAUCAAACGGCGAUUGGUCAAUGAUGGUACAACUCUGCAAGAAAAGAAAAGGAAGUUGCCUACAUUUUAUAAGAAAGAAGAUUGGGAGAACAACACUUCUGAAAAAUUUCAGAAAAAGUCUGAACAAGCAGUGAGAGCAGUCACAAGUGAAGGCUCAGUAUACAGGUGGCAGGAAGGUGGCGUGAAAUGGAAAAGGAAAGCCCCUCUGGUGAGAUAUAUAGGCCAGCGUGUUUCUAGAGACACAUAAAGUCACCCCAGAUGAUAAACCCUCAUCUUCUAAAUCACUGGUAUAAAAACGAAGCUUUGAAAGCACGGUUGGAUGCUGAAAGACAAAAAAACAACACUUGAGUACAUGAUCAGAUUUCCAAUAGGUCUUAUCAGCAGGAUAUUGGGAUGCCAGUAGCACCCUCGUCGUUUGGUCUUCAAUCCAACGACUGUUACUCCUUUUUGUUUCCCUAGAAAUUCAAUUCAUCUCCAGACUUAAAACUCACACCUUUUUCAUCAAUACCUCAAAAUUACACAAUUUCAUACCAUCUAUAAAAAAAAAAAAUUUCAAACAAAACUAUUCAUAUCAACUCAAUCUACCAGAAAAAAUCCCAUCUCUGUAAAUUUCAUUUCUAACAAAUAUGGCAUCCUCACAACAACGAUCACACCAACAAACACAACAACAAUCA